UAAAUCAAAUUAUACUGAGAGGGGGGUGGUUGAGGAGCGGGUUUGUAAAUUUCUCAUAUUUGGGGAAUAUGAGAAAUUUACAGACUCGCUCCUCAACCACCCUUCCCUCAGUAUAAUUUGAUCUA